UACGGAGGGAGCUAGCGUUGUUCGGAAUUACUGGGCGUAAAGCGCACGUAGGCGGCUUUUCAAGUCAGGGGUGAAAUCCCGGGGCUCAACCCCGGAACUGCCCUUGAAACUGGAUGGCUAGAAUCUUGGAGAGGCGAGUGGAAUUCCGAGUGUAGAGGUGAAAUUCGUAGAUAUUCGGAAGAACACCAGUGGCGAAGGCGGCUCACUGGACUGGUAUUGACGCUGAGGUGCGAAAGCGUGGGGAGCAAACAGG
rnacentral:rRNA from 1 species